ACUGGAGCCGUUUCGUUCCAUCAACUGCGGUAUAUGACACGUCCGAGCGAUAAUCGCUCGUAUCGGACGUAAGAGCCUAAGCAUUAUCGUUUACUCCCUCUGUUAAAAUCAGCGUCGAUAGAUGAGGCCCAUGCCGAGCUCUUUGCCUCCGGUUCCAUCUCCCCGAGCUCGAUCCUAUCCUCCUCCCCCAACCUCUGCGCCUUCCAUCAUUCGCCUGCCCGCAUCUUCGUCUGCCCGCCCACACACACGCAUGGCCACUUGGCCACCCGCCCCCAUCGCAUGCACGCAUCGUCCACAUGGGCACUCACAAAAUAUCGAGCGGUCGCACUCCUCUGGCCUGAUCUCAACGCCGCCCCAUCAGGCUCCUCCCCUUGCUCAUAUCCAUAUCGUCGAUCUGGGAGGUGAGGCGUUGAGACACUCAGUUCGGAAGGGAAUGGCUUCGAUUCAGGCAAGGGGGCUUUAUUUUGAUGAUGAGGAGUUCGAUUCGCAUCGCGAUGCGCUCAAUCCGGGAGAGGAUGGCAGCAGUUCGAGCGUGGGGGAUUGAUUUUGACGAUGAAGAGUUUGGUCUGUGACACGAAUUGAUCGAUCGGAUGUGAAGGCGUCGAUUCGAUGGGGGAUCCAUCUAUGCCUGAACCUUGAUCCUGGACGCCGCCAGACCCCUGUCAAGUCGGAAGAGAUAAUGCAGGUUGCUGCUAAAAAGAGGUUGAUUGAGGUCGAUUAUGGAGAGUUUUCCACUGAUGAAAAGAAAUAAAAUGAAAGGUUUUGGUUACCGAUUACAACGAUUGGAUACGGUUGGCCAGCACUGCACUCCUAGCUGUUCAAGUGAUGUUCUUUUGUAUGUAUCAAAAAAAAAUAAAGUUCUUUCUUUUGUUUUUUCUUAGGUUUUGGUUGCUGAUUACAACGAUUGGAUACAGUUAGCCAGCACUGCACUCCUGGCUGUUGUUUAUUGUUUUCGUGAUGUUCUUUUGUAGGUAUCAAAUUAUGAUUAAGUUGUAAUUUGUGUUUUUUUAACGUAC